UCCAUCGUGAGGUGGAAUCUGAAAGAAGCCGGCGGCAAACUCCCGGUCCGACGAACAGAAACCGCAUAGAAGGCAGGUUGAGGGGGACGAGACUGCAUUACAAGUCAAAGUCCGAAACUAUCGGAGCCGACACCGAGUAAAUGCGGCGGAUAGAUGGGAGGAAGGUCUAUGAC
rfam:Sphingobacteriales bacterium 50-39 SCNpilot_cont_1000_p_scaffold_0, whole genome shotgun sequence.